GACUGAAUUGUUCAGAGAGGCAUAUGAUUUUUAACCCCAGGGGGAGUGUGUGUAUAUAACCGAAAUGAAUAUUUAGUUAUGGGCCCCUGGGGUGGAGCAUUUGGGGAGCAGGGUGGGCCAGUGCUCCACUCCACAGUUUAGCAGUUUUCUUGGGAGACAUAGAUCCAGGCCAGGGUUUCUGGACUGUCUCCAACCCACUGCUCAGCUGCAGCAGUGGGAAUAAACCCCUCCCUGCUAGGCAGGUAAGGGGAGAAUGUUU